AAUGUUGUUGCGAUAGUAGUCCUGCUCAGUACAAGAGAACCGUCAGAUCAUUGGGUCAUUGGGUUCAUGUGCCUGACCGAUUGGAAAAUUGUACGAAGCUACCAUCUGAGGGAUUAUGACUGAACGUCUCUAAGUCAGAAUUCCUUUAUCAAAUUUUGUAUUUUGCGUUACAAAUAAAACCGAAAAAAAAAAA
rnacentral:ncRNA from 1 species